rnacentral:SRP_RNA from 1 species
UAAUGAUAAUGGAGCAACAGUCGUGCGUGAAGUGGGUCAGGGGAGGAAUCCAGCAGCCCUAAGCGAGGUCGAUUGUGUGCUCUUUUUGCGUACAGU